AGAAAUUUAGGUUACAUAGACCAAGAGCCUUCAAAGCCCUAAGAAAGCAAACUACACGCUUAAUUUCUG
rnacentral:tRNA from 1 species